GUGCUUGCUUCAGCAGCAUAUGUACCAAAAUUGGACCGAUACAGAGAAGAUUAGCAUGGUCCCUGUGCAAGAAUGCCAUGCAAAUUCGUGAAGGAUUUCAUUUUUUU
rfam:Myotis brandtii contig163426, whole genome shotgun sequence.